GCGCCCAUAGCUCAACUGGAUAGAGUACUUGACUACGAAUCAAGCGGUUAGAGGUUCGACUCCUCUUGGGCGCA
rfam:Brochothrix campestris FSL F6-1037 c70, whole genome shotgun sequence.